GUGCGCACGCCUAUACUCGCUCUCUCUCUCUCUCUCUCUCUCUCUCUCUCUCGAGAGAGAGAGAGAGAGAGAGAGAGAGAGAGAGAGAGAGAGAGAGCGAGAGAGAGAGAGAGA